AUGAUUCCCAAGACAUGGCAAGGAAUGCUAGGAACUCUUCUGUCAAGAAAGCGGAAAAGCUUUUUCACGACCGAUGCCCGAUCCCAAUCUCUCUUCCCCCAAAAUCCUAAUCUUUCUCCCCCUGAUUUUAAGGUGGGCCGAGGCAGAGCACUCGUCGGGCGGCGGAGCUCCGGCAGCAUAGCGGCAGGGUCGGGUGAACGCGCAGGAUUGGAAGCCACUUCGUGCCGGGGCCAUGAGCUCGUGGCUAGGGGCGAGCUGCCGGACAGUUGCGACGGCCAGGGAGGAGGGAGGCCGCCUUGUGGUGGCGAGCCACCACCUCGGAGGAGGCAGGCUACGGGGCUGGGAGGGGGGCUGAUUGCAAAAGCUCUCCCAAGGGCCGAGAUCUACCUCGGAGGAGCCAAACGGACGGCUCGAGUUUCGUGUAAGCGCACCACCUGUCCACGCCAGCCCGACCCGAUGGAAGCCGCCGCCGGCGCCGGCUUCGUCUUGCCCACAACCCGAUGCGAACGUUCAGGCCACCACUUCGUCUCGCCGACUUCGUCUCGCGGCCGCGGAAGCAGGACGCGGAGAAGAAGCGACGGCGGGCGGCUCGCUUGCUUCAACAUUCAUCUUUGCUUCAACGCAUGCACACACAACAUUAGUCUUCAAUUCAUGUUGGCAUCCGCACCGCACCAAAAACCACCAAGGACGCUUGAACAAGGCAAUCGAUUUGGGAUCGAUUCACGGCGACCUUGCAGACUGGGUGGAUCGAUGGCCGGCAAGCCGACACCUCCCGAUUACGGCUGCCCCGACGACGGCGGCGAGCGGCCGCCCUUUGUCCUCAUCGAUCCAAAGGCCUACUUCGCCGACCGCAAGAACGCCACCACCGCCUUCUGCGAUAUGAAGGCCCCCAAGCUCAAGGGCCAACUCCAGGUCACCUUCUGCGCCGUCGCCCCGCCGCUCGUCUCCUAG
rnacentral:rRNA from 1 species